AACGAACGCUGGCGGCAUGCCUAACACAUGCAAGUCGAACGAGACCUUCGGGUCUAGUGGCGCACGGGUGCGUAACGCGUGGGAACCUGCCCUUAGGUUCGGAAUAACUCCCCGAGAGGGGUGCUAAUACCGGAUAAUGUCUUCGGACCAAAGAUUUAUCGCCUUUGGAUGGGCCCGCGUUGGAUUAGCUAGUUGGUAGGGUAAAAGCCUACCAAGGCGACGAUCCAUAGCUGGUCUGAGAGGAUGAUCAGCCACACUGGGACUGAGACACGGCCCAGACUCCUACGGGAGGCAGCAGUGGGGAAUAUUGGACAAUGGGCGAAAGCCUGAUCCAGCAAUGCCGCGUGAGUGAUGAAGGCCUUAGGGUUGUAAAGCCCUUUUACCCGGGAUGAUAAUGACAGUACCGGGAGAAUAAGCUCCGGCUAACUCCGUG
rnacentral:rRNA from 1 species